GACGAACGCUGGCGGCGGGCUUAACACAUGCAAGUCGAACGGAAAGGCCCUGCUUUUGUGGGGUGCUCGAGUGGCGAACGGGUGAGUAACACGUGAGUAACCUGCCCUUGACUUUGGGAUAACUUCAGGAAACUGGGGCUAAUACCGGAUAGGAGCUCCUGCUGCAUGGUGGGGGUUGGAAAUUUUCGGCGGGUGGGGCUGGACGCGCGGCUUAUCAGCUUGUUGGUGGGGUAGUGGCUUACCAAGGCUUUGACGGGUAGCCGGCCUGAGAGGGUGACCGGCCACAUUGGGACUGCGAUACGGCCCAGACUCCUACGGGAGGCAGCAGUGGGGAAUAUUGCACAAUGGGCGGAAGCCUGAUGCAGCAACGCCGCGUGCGGGAUGACGGCCUUCGGGUUGUAAACCGCUUUCGCCUGUGACGAAGCGUGAGUGACGGUAAUGGGUAAAGAAGCACCGGCUAACUACGUG
rnacentral:rRNA from 1 species